AGUCCGGAGCUUCCGGUCGCCGCGGCCGACCAGCUGAGGGCUCCCGGAGAUAUGGAGCGGGGUCAGCGAGGCCUGGUGGCGCCUCCUGGAGUCUGGGACGAGCGGCGGUCCGAGGAGCAGCCCAGGUGGGGCGAGGGUACGGAGACGCUAUUUCCCUCCGAACUCUGAAGUAGCCAGGUCAGUGUCGGCUCCGCGAGGGCUGGAGUUCACGGUGACAGCCGGCAGAGCAUCUGAUGCCACGUGGAGAGGCGAAGUACAUGGGUCGGAUUCCACGCUGGGAGCCGGCCUGGAUCUGCGCUUUAGGAAGCCACUGCGGGCGACCCUAUCUUGUCGCCAGGACUUCGCAUCUGAUGAGCCUCAGGGCACACAAGUUAGAGAGGCUUGUGCCGGCUGAUGUGGCUUUUCUUUUUCUUAGUUUCCGUUUAGUAAACGACCUUGUGACUUCUGGCUUGCUCAGGAAGACCAGAAAAAAAGGCAAUAGGUAACGAAUUUUUCUUUUUUUAAAGAAACAGAUUAUUGGCCGAGGAAAAACCAAUUUCGCUCUAAAGGAUAAGCAACAAAAUACUGAGGGGGGAAAAAGCCUACACAAAUGGAAACAUACGGCACAAAAUCAAGGAGCGACCAGUUCCGCAUGGUUACACUAAAAUGCACUGCACUCCCACUCUCUGGCUUGGCUGAAGAUAACCAGCAAGCUCUGAACAGUUUAAAAGCCUUCCAAGGACUGCAGCAGCACUGGACACACAAGAGAGUCGAGAACAGUAUUGGAUUUAUUGUUAGGGUUACAAUUUUCACGAUCUUUGCAUGCAAAACUUGCCACUCUGAGCCCAGUGAACUAUUUUUAUUUGGUUUACUUACUGGCUUUCUGGAUGACUAGGUAGAGCUUUAACUAAAGAACACUUCUGCUGUGGUCUGUGAUGAUGAAUUUUCCCGUAGUGUCAUUUCUAUAAUGGAAUAGGCAAACUGACCAUUUAGAAUGUGAUAUUCCUAAAUCACAUUCAAAUCAGUCUUAUCAGAGACUUCUAAUCAAUAAAAAUAAAGCACCAGAUGGCUAGAGGUAGUUUUUGACCUCAGCUUGGGCCUCAGCAAAGAUUUUUUGUGUUUUUUUUAACUACAUUAAAACAUCAGAGUUUAAGACACUUUUCUUUGAGCAUCAGAAAUACUCUCAGCUGAAUUUAGAGUUGAACUAUCCGGAAGAACCCUGGAGAAGGAGGGUGAUUUAUUUUCAACUUUCUGAUUUACCACCGACUUAAAUCAACCAAUGAGUUCUUUCUUUGACCAAAAAAAAAAAAAAAAAAAAAAAAAAAAAAAAAAAAAUUCAAGACUUGUGAUGUUUCUAUUUGUUUUGUUUUGUUUAGUUUGGUGUGUGCUUACUCAUUGUCCCAUUCUUUUGAUAACCUGUAUUUAUCUGCCACAAGUUAAACAAAAAUAAAUGAAAUAAGGAACACACCAAAAUCCUGCACUUAGGCCCUGUAUAGACAGUGUGUUCCAAACCUAAGGAGGUGUCUGCAACAGGGGAGGCUGCUGAGUGACUCUGCAGAGAACAGAUGACAUCUGUUAAAUGUCAAACACCAUCACGUCGUACUUCAAGUUGUACUUUACUUGGAACAUGGAAGCCAUCUGUCUGGAGCUCCCACAUCCAUUUCAAAUCUUCAGGGUUCCCCAUUCCAGGGGAGGAGCUGAACCUCCUGACACCGUCCACUUCCCUCCUGCCUCCUUCAAACAUCAUCCCUUUUUUCUCCCGAAUCCCUAAAUGUUUCUGCACCCAAGGGCUCUACCCCAAUAAACACAGCUAAGACUCUUUGAUUCUUAAAAUGUCUUCCUUUAACGUCCCACCCUCCAGAAUCUAUUGUCGUAUGUUUUGUUCACCAAAGGUAAUAAAAAUAAAUGUGGAUUUUGGUGCCGUUAUUUUUCAAAAAAAGCUAUAUAUUAAUAGUUUUUCUUGCUUAUGUAUACAAAUCAAAUUACUUAUUUUUAAAUCCAUCAUUCCCCUAGAGUUUCUGCAGCACUUGAUCCUCUAAUCACCUUGCUCUUGGUCUACCAUUGGCUUGGUUUUUCUCCUUCCUCUGUAGCAGUCCUUUCGUCUUUGUUGACUCAGAUUCUUCCUCCCUUCUAAUCCUCCAAUAUUUUUACCAUCCCCUAAUUGUAAACCACAGGCUUUUUAUCUUUACUGUCUCUCACAGCCCUCAUUUACUAUUACUUCCAUCCCGGAUCCUGGUGACUCCCAACUCCAGAAUAUAUACCCUUAACCUCACUCCUGACUUCCACUAAUACAUUCUGAAUGGUCCCUGCACAAUUCUAUCAAGAUACCCUGCUGUUAAUUUAAUAUGUUCCAAACCACAUUAAUCUUGCAAUAUACAAUCACUUUACACAUACCUCUCCCUUGCUCAAAAACCUUUAAUAGAUUCCCCGUUCCUAUAUAAGUAAAUAUUAACUUCACCUCCUCACCAUCACCACCACCACCCCCUAAUUGGGCCCUGAGCUCUCUACUACCCAUUUCCACUUUUCACCUCUGUAACUCAUAUUUCUAGCCCAUGGAGUUGUUCAUUCUCCAGAACACCUUCCAAAUCCCUGCUUUCUAGUCUUUGUGCUUGAAGCUGCUCUGCCCGAAGUGAUGUCCUUCAUCCUGACGUAUUUAAUAAUACUUUCCCUUUGAGGCCCAGGUUAAGGUCUACUUCCUCCAUGAAGCCUGUUCUUCCUGCCCUGGCUCCCAGCAUGCCUGUCCUUUGGACCUGGCCAGGGCUUGCUGGGCUUGAUACUUGUCCAGCUGUUAAAAUAGACUAGGCAUGAGUUAUUGCAAAUUUGCCUUCUCAAUCUGAUGCACAUUUUUGGUAGUAGGGUCUUUGUCCUCUACUUCUCUACAGGGUGUCCAUAAAGUCUAGAACUAUCAGUUAUUUUAUUUGUUCACGAGUUGCAGAUGUUCUUGAUGACAUCAUGUGCACUGCCUGCAUUCUGAACUUGGUAGGCAUGGUAUAUAUCUUUUGUGUUGCUACCGUGCCUCACACACAGUGGGCAUUCAAAUGGGUUAAUAAUUCCUCAAUGCCAAGCUUUUUUAUGUGGUGGCCUAGGGAUGAACGAAACCAAGUAUCCAAUGACAGAAGAAAGAGAUCAAAAUGCAGUUAAAAGGAAACAUUAGAUCUACUUCUCCCAGCAAAUUCCUGUUUUGUUUCUUUUAUAACACUGCCACCACCCCUGCAUUAACUGUUCUGUUUCAAACCAUCUUUCCAGGCUCAGCUCUGCACCUUCACUCCUCUGGAAAGCUUUCCUUGACCCCUUCUGACAGUAAAUGUAACUAUAGCACUGACUGCACCACUGUUGUUUCUGCUUUGUCUUGAUUCCUUGACAAGAAACUUCAGGGGAAAGAACUGUAUCUUGUUGGUGCACCACAAUAUGUAGUACCCAGUAUUUAAUAAAUACUUUUGAAUGAAGGAUAAGUGAUGGCAAUAGCAAGCAUAUCUCAGUGUUUACUGUAUGCUAAGCAUUGUGCUGAGCACCUCUCCUGCAUUGUCUUUUCCUUUUUGAGACAGAGUCUUGCUCUGUCGCCCAGGCUGGAUUGCAAUGGCGUGAUCUCGGCUCACUGCAACAUUCACCUCCUGGGUUCAAGCAAUUCUCGUACCUCAGCCGCCCGAGUAGAUGGGAUUAUAGGCGUGCGCCACCACGCCUGGCUAGUUUUUGUAAUUUUAGUAGAGACAGGGUUUUGCUGUGUAGGCCAGGCUGAUCUUGAACUCCUGGCCUCAAGUGAUUCACCCACCUCGGCCUCCCAAAGUGCUGGGAUUACAGGCACAAGCCACUGCGCCCAGCCUCCAUUUUCUUAUUUACAUCUUAUAGCAGACCUAUGUGGAAGGUACAUCAUUUCCUCCAUUUCACAGAUGAGGAAGCUGAGACUUGGAGAAACUAAUUCAGUUGUUCCAGGUCACAAGUCAAGUUACAGUUUUGCUUCAGGCCUGGGUGUGUAGCCUCCUGCUACGCUAAACAAAUGAUGAACGUUAACCAUCUUGCUAUUCCCUCUAUAGAAAGGGGCUCUCCAUUUCCCUCUCUAGCUGUUACCUGAAAUAAGGAGGUGAAGCUUGAUCAUGUUAAAACACCUGUGAAACUAAUUUUUAAAAAGGGUAUCUGGGCCCAACC
rnacentral:lncRNA from 1 species